rnacentral:rRNA from 2 species
CUUGGAAACAGGUGCUAAUACCGUAUAACAACAAAAUCCGCAUGGAUUUUGUUUGAAAGGUGGCUUCGGCUAUCACUUCUGGAUGAUCCCGCGGCGUAUUAGUUAGUUGGUGAGGUAAAGGCCCACCAAGACGAUGAUACGUAGCCGACCUGAGAGGGUAAUCGGCCACAUUGGGACUGAGACACGGCCCAAACUCCUACGGGAGGCAGCAGUAGGGAAUCUUCCACAAUGGACGAAAGUCUGAUGGAGCAAUGCCGCGUGAGUGAAUAAGGGUUUCGGCUCGUAAAACUCUGUUGUUAAAGAAGAACACCUUUGAGAGUAACUGUUCAAGGGUUGACGGUAUUUAACCAGAAAGCCACGGCUAACUACGUGCCAGCAGCCGCGGUAAUACGUACGUGGCAAGCGUUGUCCGGAUUUAUUGGGCGUAAAGCGAGCGCAGGCGGUUUUUUAAGUCUGAUGUGAAAGCCUUCGGCUUAACCGGAUAAGUGCAUCGGAAACUGGGAGACUUGAGUGCAGAAGAGGACAGUGGAACUCCAUGUGUAGCGGUGGAAUGCGUAGAUAUAUGGAAGAACACCAGUGGCGAACGCGGCUGUCUAGUCUGUAACUGACGCUGAGGCUCGAAAGCAUGGGUAGCGAACAAGAUUAGAUACCCUGGUAGUCCAUGCCGUAAACGAUGAAUGCUAAGUGUUGGAGGGUUUCCGCCCUUCAGUGCUGCAGCUAACGCAUUAAGCAAUCCGCCUGGGGAGUACGACCGCAAGGUUGAAACUCAAAGGAAUUGACGGGGGCCCGCACAAGCGGUGGAGCAUGUGGUUUAAUUCGAAGCUACGCGAAGAACCUUACCAGGUCUUGACAUCUUCUGCCAAUCUUAGAGAUAAGACGUUCCCUUCGGGAACAGAAUGACAGGUGGUGCAUGGUUGUCGUCAGCUCGUGUCGUGAGAUGUUGGGUUAAGUCCCGCAACGAGCGCAACCCUUAUUAUCAGUUGCCAGCAUUCAGUUGGGCACUCUGGUGAGACUGCCGGUGACAAACCGGAGGAAGGUGGGGAUGACGACAAAUCAUCAUGCCCCUUAUGACCUGGGCUACACACGUGCUACAAUGGACGGUACAACGAGAUGCGAAGUCGUGAGGGUAAGCUAAUCUCUUAAAGCCGUUCUCAGUUCGGAUUGU